rnacentral:rRNA from 1 species
GGCUUAAAGUUUGAUCAUGGCUCAGGACGAACGCCGGCGGCGCGCCUAACACAUGCAAGUCGAACGGAGAAUGCGGGACUGAAGCCUUCGGGCAGAUGACCUGUAUUCUUAGUGGCGGACGGGUGAGUAACACGUGAGCAACCUGCCUUCAAGAGGUGGAUAGCACCUGGAAACGGGUGGUAAUACCGCAUAAGACCACAGUGUCGCAUGGCACAGAGGUCAAAGGAGCAAUCCGCUUGAAGAUGGGCUCGCGUCCGAUUAGAUAGUUGGUGAGGUAACGGCUCACCAAGUCGACGAUCGGUAGCCGGACUGAGAGGUUGAACGGCCACAUUGGGACUGAGACACGGCCCAGACUCCUACGGGAGGCAGCAGUGGGGGAUAUUGCACAAUGGGCGAAAGCCUGAUGCAGCGACGCCGCGUGAGGGAAGACGGCCUUCGGGUUGUAAACCUCUGUCAUUCGGGACGAAAAGAUGACGGUACCGAAGAAGGAAGCUCCGGCUAACUACGUGCCAGCAGCCGCGGUAAUACGUAGGGAGCGAGCGUUGUCCGGAAUUACUGGGUGUAAAGGGAGCGUAGGCGGGAAAGCAAGUUGGAAGUGAAAUGCAUGGGCUUAACCCAUGAGCUGCUUUCAAAACUGUUUUUCUUGAGUGAAGUAGAGGCAGGCG